GCCGCCCUCGGUGGAGCGAUAAGCUGCUCCAUUUUACAGACGGGGAAGUUAAGGGGCAGGUCGCGGCCCGGCCAGACCCUAAAAGGCUCCUCGAGUGGUUGCCUAAGUCCAGCACCCUAACCGGUCCUGGGAAGGUCAACCCUCGGCUUCCUACAAGUUAAGCAACCUGGGGAAGCCGGUGCCCAAGCCUUUCCUGUUGGGACCCUCAGUCCUGCCGGCCAAACCAGCCCACUUAGCAAAAAAGCCCUGGGAACAAUUUAUACAACUCAACUGCAGCGAUUACUAGAAGGGCCACUUUGCGAGCUUAGCAGGCACAGAGGCUUUUAGCGAUCAUUCGGUUCUCAAAAUAUUUUGAUGGAAUUUUUCCCCUCAACUCAAAACGCUGCCAUUUUAUUUCAAAAGCUUUUCUAAAUGUUUCUAUUAGGCUCCUGCUUCUGCUUCCAGAGUUCAUUGCAACUUCAACCUUGCUGUUACAACCUGGUCUGCAAAGUGAUGCCUCUUAUGAGAUUUAUUUAUUUAUACAUACAAGCACUGGAUACAGUCAGAAGCACAGGAGGGUGAGAGAAUUCACCAGAGCCAGACCGGGGAGCAGAGCAGGCAGAAGGACCGAACUACACUGCCGAGGGGAGCAGCGGGCGGCAGGAGAGGUCCGCGCGCCAUG